CCUACGGGUGGCAGCAGUGGGGGAUAUUGCACAAUGGGGGGAACCCUGAUGCAGCGACGCCGCGUGGGUGAAGGAGCGUUUCGGCGCGUAAAGCUCCAUUGGCAGGGAAGAAGAUGACGGUACCUGACCAAGAAGCCCCGGCUAACUACGUGACAGCAGCCGCGGUAAUAUGUAGGGGGCAGGCGUUAUCCGGAUUUACUGGGUGUAAAGGGGGCGCAGACGGCAAUGCAAGCCAGGAGUGAAAGCCCGGGGCCCAACCUCGGGACUGCUCUUGGAACUGCAUGGCUGGAGUGCAGGAGGGGCAGGCGGAAUUCGUGGUGUAGCGGUGAAAUGCGUAGAUAUUAGGAGGAACACCGAUGGCGAAGGCAGCCUGCGGGACUGUAACUGACGUUGAGGCUCGAAGGCGUGGGGAGCGAACAGGAUUAGAUACCCGAGUAGUC
rnacentral:rRNA from 1 species